ACGAACGCUGGCGGCAUGCCUAACACAUGCAAGUCGAACGAGACCUUCGGGUCUAGUGGCGCACGGGUGCGUAACGCGUGGGAACCUGCCCUUAGGUUCGGAAUAACUCCCCGAAAGGGGUGCUAAUACCGGAUAAUGUCUUCGGACCAAAGAUUUAUCGCCUUUGGAUGGGCCCGCGUUGGAUUAGCUAGUUGGUAGGGUAAAAGCCUACCAAGGCGACGAUCCAUAGCUGGUCUGAGAGGAUGAUCAGCCACACUGGGACUGAGACACGGCCCAGACUCCUACGGGAGGCAGCAGUGGGGAAUAUUGGACAAUGGGCGAAAGCUUGAUCCAGCAAUGCCGCGUGAGUGAUGAAGGCCUUAGGGUUGUAAAGCUCUUUUACCCGGGAUGAUAAUGACAGUACCGGGAGAAUAAGCUCCGGCUAACUCCGUG
rnacentral:rRNA from 1 species